rnacentral:rRNA from 1 species
CGAACGGAUCCUUCGGGAUUAGUGGCGGACGGGUGAGUAACACGUGGGAACGUGCCCUUUGGUUCGGAACAACUCAGGGAAACUUGAGCUAAUACCGGAUGUGCCCUUCGGGGAAAGAUUUAUCGCCAUUGGAGCGGCCCGCGUCUGAUUAGCUAGUUGGUGGGGUAAAGGCCCACCAAGGCGACGAUCAGUAGCUGGUCUGAGAGGAUGAUCAGCCACAUUGGGACUGAGACACGGCCCAA